AAGGAGUCACGCUUGCAAGAUUUCAACACUGACGGUUGGUACAGGUUUUUGUGUGUUAGCAGUGGAGUAAACCAUGGAGGUUUACGCCACUUUACACCAUGGAGGUCCUGGGAGGACAGUUUAGCGACAUGACUCCACAGGAGCUGGCGGCUCCUGUCAACACCGUAGCUAACUUGUGACCUGUUCAGAAAAUAUAACCCACAGGAUUUGAGAGAAAAGGGACCAGUAAGUGCAAAAUGCAAACUUAUUUCAGGCAUUUCAGGUUUGUUCUUGCAGCACUUUCUAGAAGCACAUAUGUAGCCUAGGGUUGCUUACUGUGCCCAUUCUUAGAUGGGUCUUUAACCACAGUAAAACUACACUCAUACAUGAAGAAUACAAAACUCAAACGUCAUUCAAAACCUAGAAAGGAUACGAUGCAAGGGACAAAAAGUUGAAAGGAGGGACAUAAAGCAAUAAACUCAAAAAUAGUUUUUUGAGUUUUGAUCUUCACCUUCUUGCUGAGUGUUAUAAGAGCACUGCUGCCUCUCAUGUUUGUGCAGGACAUCUGAAGCUACAGCCAGUGUUUGGCUGGCUUAUCAUAGCACAGAGGAGGCCUCUACGUGCUAGUAGUAACCCCCUCAAACCCUCAGCCUGUUGUUUGAUACAAGCUGGUUUUUGUAAAUAAGCUCCCUGCCUUCAUAUUUACAGAUGUGACAAAUUUAAAUCACCCCCCAAAAAUAAACUGGUGUUCAAAAUGACACCUUUUCAUGCAAAUGUAGACUGGAUGCUAACUUUCUGACUGUUUAUUAAACAGAAAUGUUCAUGAUGCUCAAGUAAAUAAAACUGAUUCACAAAACUGUUAAAAAAUAAUAAUUUUGGGGAAAGAGGACUUUUCAGUCUGUUGUCAGCCUGGUUCAGUCUAAGCGUUGUUUUCCAUAAAUUGCAAGCUCAAAAAGUGCUUUGUCUCACUCCCACUUCUUGUCGCAUGUUGAAGCUCAACUUGGAACUUUGUUAAGAUCCAACCAUGCAAAAUAUUAUUUUUUGGUCAUUUUUCAAGUGGUCUUAAACUUUUGACUGGGGCUGUACAUUAAUUCUCUCCCUCUUUCAGUCACAGUCCCUGCAUUUAAAAUCCAACUCGAUAGACCGAUAGACCAGCCUUCAAACUAAGACGCGUGAUGUAUAAAAGUCUUUCUACUGAGUAAAGGACAGUUUGAGUUUCCUGCUGGCACCAUGCACUGUCUUCACAAGUUUCUUCUUUGUUUUCUACCAUGUCUACAAGGCAUCAGUGAGACAUCAAAGACAUACCUGAUUUAUCUUACGGCUGUAAACGGCACACUAACUUUAUCAUCUUCUUUUUUUUUUUAUUUACCAGAGUUUGCAACAGGAAUUAUUCAUGGAACAAAAGCUCCAGAGAACUCGAUACCCUACAUGGGAUCGGUGCAGAAUAACAAGGGUCAACAUGUCUGUGGAGAAUUCCUCAUCACGGUUGUGACCGGUUGUGAGUUAGAUUUCUUGUUCAUGAAGUUCAUCCAAAAACAAGCUUUUUCAAACUUGUGUUUAUUGAUCAAGUCACUCUAAGUUAUUGAUAAGGCAGAUGUUAUUUCGAGGGAAAAUAAAACACAAUUAAGUGCAAUAGCAUCAAAUAAAAAUGACCUUUGACCUCUCACAGCCGUUGGUUACAGCACUGCUGACAUUAACCUGCUUGUAACGAUUGCGUAAUGAGAAAUAAAGACAUCAGUUUAAAAUUGUUGACAUUUUUAAUUCCCUCUCAAUGAUUACUCACACAGUGACCGCACACACUGAUCAUCCCAAAGUAAAGAUUGAGAGAAAAUGAAAUCCAUGAAGAAUACAAAAAGUUUUUACAGAGUUUUUACAUUAAAAUAUGUUACUAUAUGUGUUACUAUUCUAUGGCUGGAUGGGGAAUAACUGAAACUGAUGGCGAACCUGUUGAUGAGCCGAUGGUGGUGGACGUGUCUGUCAUUGAACCAAAGGUCUGUAAGAAACACUGGCCUGGUCUUCCUGCCGGUGUUUCCUGUGCAGGUGGAUAUGGAACAACCAAAAGAUUCUGGCAGGUAUGUUUUCUGUGAUUUCAGAGGAAACUUGUGUUUUGUUGACAAAUGUAUAAAAAAAAAAGAAUAUAAUCUGACAUAUUAAAAUCCUCACAGGGUGAGGUAAUACCAGGAUGCUCUGUAGAAUCCUGACCACUUUGUCAUGGGAAUUGAUCUGCUGCUGACCGCAAGGCACUGCAGCUGGUGAUAUAAACAGCCCAAUUAUUCUACCAUUUAUACUACCCUUAUCUGUAUUUAUACAUGUGUAAUGACAAUAAAGUGAAAUCCUAAUCCUAAAA